GCAAGUUGUAGCUCAAGGGUAGAGCGUUGGUCUUGUAAACCAAAGGCUGGAUUUAAUAUCUCACUUGCU
rnacentral:tRNA from 1 species